UGGGGAAUAUUGCACAAUGGGCGCAAGCCUGAUGCAGCCAUGCCGCGUGUAUGAAGAAGGCCUUCGGGUUGUAAAGUACUUUCAGCGGGGAGGAAGGUGUUGUGGUUAAUAACCACAGCAAUUGACGUUACCCGCAGAAGAAGCACCGGAUAACUCCGUGCCAGCAGCCGCGGUAAUAAGGAGGGAGCAAGCGUUAAUCGGAAUUACUGGGCGUAAAGCGCACGCAGGCGGUCUGUCAAGUCGGAUGUGAAAUCCCCGGGCUCAACCUGGGAACUGCAUCCGAAACUGGCAGGCUUGAGUCUUGUAGAGGGGGGUAGAAUUCCAGGUGUAGCGGUGAAAUGCGUAGAGAUCUGGAGGAAUACCGGUGGCGAAGGCGGCCCCCUGGACAAAGACUGACGCUCAGGUGCGAAAGCGUGGGGAGCAAACA
rnacentral:rRNA from 1 species